GUAGCCUUUUUCGAGAUACAGACUUUAGAAAGUUGAUUUUCUUAACGAAACCUUGCUAGAAUCAAAGAAAAGUUAUUAUGACAGUAUUUUUUGGACCAAAAAAUAUAGGUUCGCGUUGCUUUUCUUAGCGUAUUUUGUACUUAUCUCCCAUGCCUAUCAAUUUUGCCCUUAAAAAUACGUGUCUUGUCCUAGCGUUGAAAAGUCAUCUCAGUGCCUUUAGGGCUACGGAAUAAUUUUUAUUUUGCCUUUUGUAUAAAGCAGAGUGCACGAAGUCUCUAAUAAUAAAAAACAACGGGCGCACAUAUCGACCAAUCAGGAUAAGUCCUACUCUUAAUUCUGAAUACCAUGUUAUGCUCAUAAAAUGGCUGCGCCCAUAAAAUCUAAUGGUGUAUUGUAACCUCCAGAGACUAGGUGCUUCAAAACUAGUUGUCUCAGGAACUAGGUGCUUCAGAGACUAGUCAUUUCAGGACUAGGUGUUUUAGAGACUGGGUGUCUCAGAACUAGGUGUUUCAGGAACCUAGGAUUUUUGAAGCUUGUUCUUAAGUUUAAUAUAAUUGUUUGUCAAAUCAGUUGGGACCUCGGAGGCAGUAAAAGGAUCAAGGAUAAAUUGAGGUUAUAGUUUUCAGACUACUUUUUGAUAUAAAGUUAUUUGUGUAAAUAGUGUUAUUUCUUUAUUAAGUUUCAAAGUUUC
rnacentral:lncRNA from 1 species